rnacentral:rRNA from 1 species
UACGUAGGGGGCAAGCGUUGUCCGGAAUCAUUGGGCGUAAAGAGCGUGUAGGCGGCCAGAUAAGUCCGCUGUGAAAUCUCGAGGCUCAACUUCGAGCUGUCGGUGGAAACUGUCUGGCUAGAGUCCGGAAGAGGAGAAUGGAAUUCCUGGUGUAGCGGUGAAAUGCGCAGAUAUCAGGAGGAACACCGGUGGCGAAGGCGGCUUGCUGGGCCUUACCUGACACUGAGGAGCGAAAGCGUGGGGAGCGAACAGG